CUACGGAGGAUCCAAGCGUUAUCCGGAUUUAUUGGGUUUAAAGGGUGCGCAGGCGGCCUUAUAAGUCAGUGGUGAAAUCUCCCGGCUCAACCGGGAAACUGCCAUUGAUACUGUAAGGCUAGAAUACAGACGAGGUAGGCGGAAUGUAGCAUGUAGCGGUGAAAUGCUUAGAUAUGCUACAGAACACCGAUCGCGAAGGCAGCUUACCAGACUGUAAUUGACGCUAAGGCACGAAAGCGUGGGGAGCGAACAGGAUUAGAAACCCCAGUAGUCC
rnacentral:rRNA from 1 species